rnacentral:lncRNA from 1 species
AGUUCAUAGUUUCGGUUGUAUUACACUCACACAUUGUAUUGUUCAAAGUGUAAAGGUUUGUUGCUGUGUAUCGAGCUUGUGAAACAAGGGAACAAGGGGACUAGUUAGCUAGAAGAGUAUACUUGGGAAGUAUAGGUCUUGGAGAGCUUUUGGUUCGUGGUUCAGGGGUUUCAGCAAGCUGAUAACAGGAACAAGGGAUAAAGGGAGUUAUAUUAUUGAAUCAUUGUAAUCGUUAACAUUAUUGAUUAAUAAUAUAAUCUCUUACCAGUUGGUAGGGGACCAGGACGUAGACCAUUAGGGUUAGGGGUCGAACCUGGCUAAAAUUCU